rnacentral:lncRNA from 1 species
GUCAGAAGCAAUAAUUCACUUGGCAAAGCUGUGCAGGAAGGAGCUGGCUUCCAGGUCAGCUCGUCCUCUGAGUCUCAGACCUGUCAAAGGGAAGACCACUCAACGGAUGGAUCGGACUGGGAGGGAGCAGAUCAACCAGCCAGUUGCAGCUCCUAAGGUCAUUGGCGGAAAGCCUCUGCAUGGGCAGACACGCUGGCUUCAAACGCUCUGCUGCUACUGGCUUUGAACUCUGGAUCUUUUUGCCUUUCCUCCCAGGGGUUGGGGUGAUACUGCCAUGCCCGUGCUGGACGUGCAG